GCGGCUGUAGCUCAGUUGGUUAGAGUGCCGGCCUGUCACGCCGGAGGUCGCGGGUUCGAGUCCCGUCAGCCGCGCCA
rnacentral:tRNA from 1 species